CUGGGAACUGCAUUCGAAACUGGCAGGCUUGAGUCUUGUAGAGGGGGGUAGAAUUCCAGGUGUAGCGGUGAAAUGCGUAGAGAUCUGGAGGAAUACCGGUGGCGAAGGCGGCCCCCUGGACAAAGACUGACGCUCAGGUGCGAAAGCGUGGGGAGCAAACAGGAUUAGAUACCCUGGUAGUCCACGCCGUAAACGAUGUCUACUUGGAGGUUGUGCCCUUGAGGCGUGGCUUCCGGAGCUAACGCGUUAAGUAGACCGCCUGGGGAGUACGGCCGCAAGGUUAAAACUCAAAUGAAUUGACGGGGGCCCGCACAAGCGGUGGAGCAUGUGGUUUAAUUCGAUGCAACGCGAAGAACC
rnacentral:rRNA from 1 species